GCGACCUCGGGGACAGCGGCCGCGUGAAUACGGGGGUGGGGGGCGUUAAUUGGAUUUACUGUGCGUAAAGCGCGGGUAGGUGGCUAAUUAAGUCAAGUGUGAAAUCCCCGAGCGUAACUUGGGAAUUGCAUUCGAUACUGGUUGGCUAGAGUAUGGGAGAGGAUGGUAGAAUUCCAGGUGUAGCGGUGAAAUGCGUAGAGAUCUGGAGGAAUACCGAUGGCGAAGGCAGCCAUCUGGCCUAAUACUGACACUGAGGUGCGAAAGCAUGGGGAGCAAACAGGAUUAGAUACCCGAGUAGUC
rnacentral:rRNA from 1 species